GACGAACGCUGGCGGCGUGCUUAACACAUGCAAGUCGAACGGAAAGGCCCCUUUGGGGGUACUCGAGUGGCGAACGGGUGAGUAACACGUGAGUAACCUGCCCUUGACUUCGGGAUAACUUCAGGAAACUGGGGCUAAUACCGGAUAGGAAUCCUUGCUGCAUGGUGGGGGUUGGAAAGCUUCGGCGGUUUUGGAUGGACUCGCGGCGUAUCAGCUUGGUGGUGGGGUAGUGGCUUACCAAGGCUUUGACGGGUAGCCGGCCUGAGAGGGCGACCGGCCACAUUGGGACUGGGAUGCGGGCAAGACUCCUACGGGAGGCAGCAGGGGGGAAUAUUGCACAAUGGGCGGAAGCCUGGUUCAGCAACGCCGCGGGCGGGAAGACGGCCUUCGGGGUGUAAACCGCUUACAGCAGGAGCGAAGCUUGUGGUGACGGUACCUGCAGAAGAAGCACCGGCUAACUACGUG
rnacentral:rRNA from 1 species